rnacentral:rRNA from 1 species
GGCGAUCAGAUACCGCCCUAGUUCUGACCGUAAACGAUGCCAACUAGCGAUCCGCCAGUCGACUCAUCGCUCUGGUGGGGAGCUUCCCGGAAACGAAAGUCUUCCGGUUCCGGGGGAAGUAUGGUUGCAAAGCUGAAACUUAAAGGAAUUGACGGAAGGGCACCACCAGGAGUGGAGCCUGCGGCUUAAUUUGACUCAACACGGGGAAACUCACCCGGCCCGGACACCGUAAGGAUUGACAGAUUGAUAGCUUUUUCAUGAUUCGGUGGAUGGUGGUGCAUGGCCGUUCUUAGUUCGUGGAGCGAUUUGUCUGGUUUAUUCCGAUAACGAGCGAGACUCUGGCCUACUAAAUAGUUGGCACAUUGCCACUGUGUGCCCAACUUCUUAGAGGGAUUUUCGGUGUUCAGCCGCACGAAAUUGAGCAAUAACAGGUCUGUGAUGCCCUUAGAUGUCCGGGGCUGCACGCGCGCUACACUGGCAAACGCAACGUGCCUGUCCUGCCCCGAAAGGAGCGGGUAAACCCCUGAAAAUUUGCCGUGAUUGGGAUCGGACAUUGCAAUUAUUGUCCGUGAACGAGGAAUCCCUUGUAAGGGCGAGUCAUCAACUCGUCCUGAAUACGUCCCUGCCCUUGUA